UAGGAUUUCUGAUGCACUGGUUAAAAACACAGCAGCGGAUAAUUCAGUUAAUUUACCAAGUGAUUUAUCCUUCAAAGCUGCAGGGGCAGCUUUCCUGAAUAGUGCAAAAACUUCUUUAGCUUCCAAAAUGGUAUAUAGUACAAACAGUGAAGCUAAUAUAGAUAAAUCUGAUCAUUCAUCAUCAAUAAUAACUGCAUCUGAGAUUAAUAGUUCUACAGUAAUCGUGGGGUCUAGGUCAACAAUUACUAUUUCUCAUCAAAGCCGUUUUUGUUUAACUGGUAGAGAUUCCCUGACUCUGCCAAGGAAAAGGGUAAAAUCAAAAUGAUAUCCUGAGGACCUAAGCACUGAUGAUUCCACCGUUUUAAAAACUAAAUCACUUGUCACCAAAUUAUAGAAAAAAAAAUAAAGAAAAUUAAAAUUCGAAGAUUGCAACAAACAAAUUUGCGCCAAAGAAAUCGAAUUAGAUCUCAAGUCAUUAUUAAAAUACUUAAGAAAUAAUAACAUGAUUUUCGA